UACAGAGGUCUCAAGCGUUGUUCGGAUUCAUUUGGGCGUAAAGGGGUGCGAGUAGGCGGGCGCGGUAAGUCGGGUGUGAAAGUCUUGGAGCUUAACUCCGAAACUGCAUUCGAUACUGCCGUGCUCGAGGACUGGAGAGGAGACUGGAAUUACGGUGUAGCUGGUGGAAAUGCGUAGAUAAUCGUAAGGAAGACCAGUGGCGAAGGGCGGGUCUCUGGACAGUUCCUGACGCUGAGGCACGAAGGUCAGGGGAGCAAACGG
rnacentral:rRNA from 1 species